rnacentral:rRNA from 1 species
CAGUAGCCACGGUAAUACGUAGGGUGCGAGCGUUAAUCGGAAUUACUGGGCGUAAAGCGUGCGCAGGCGGUGCUGCAAGACCGAUGUGAAAGCCCCGGGCUUAACCUGGGAACUGCAUUGGUGACUGCAGCGCUGGAGUAUGGCAGAGGGGGGUGGAAUUCCACGUGUAGCAGUGAAAUGCGUAGAGAUGUGGAGGAACACCGAUGGCGAAGGCAGCCCCCUGGGCCAAUACUGACGCUCAUGCACGAAAGCGUGGGGAGCAAACAGGAUUAGAUACCCGCGUAGUCCCUGUCUCUUAUAA